rnacentral:rRNA from 1 species
UACGGAGGGGGCUAGCGUUGUUCGGAAUUACUGGGCGUAAAGCGCACGUAGGCGGUCCUCUAAGUCGGGUGUGAAAGCCCGGGGCUUAACCCCGGAAGUGCACUCGAAACUGGAGGGCUUGAGUAUGGAAGAGGGUCUCGGAAUUCCCGGUGUAGAGGUAAAAUUCGUAGAUAUCGGGAGGAACACCAGUGGCGAAGGCGGAGACCUGGGCCAAUACUGACGCUGAGGUGCGAAAGCGUGGGGAGCAAACAGG